CCAGGAAAGAAACUUUCCUUUAUUUUAAAAGAUAGAGAGAGAGUAUGGUGUCAUAAUAUCUUUAACACGACGAAAAAAUUCGCAAUAGUGUUUUUCAGUCCAUGUCCAAUAAACAAUCUGAAGGACAGGAAGGAUGUGGAAGAAGAAAAGUGGCCCCUGCAUAUUUUUUUUUUUAUAAAAUUUUUUGUUUUCUUUUUUAUCUUUUUUUUUAUAAAAUUUUUUUUAACGCUCCCGGCCUCGCGCAGAAGUGCGAGCAAGAAAGAGGGAUCCUCGGGAGCAGGCCCUGAAGCGCUCGAGAAGUGGCGAUGUAACUUUUGCCCCGACGUGGGAUUCGCCGAUCGGCCAUGGUCUAGAAGAGGGGUCUUAUACGGAUUCUAUACAUAUAGGUACAUACAUACAUUUUUCAUGAAUUAAAUAAUUAUAUUUUAUUGGUAGUG